rnacentral:rRNA from 1 species
UAAUACGGAGGGUGCAAGCGUUAAUCGGAAUUACUGGGCGUAAAGCGUGCGUAGGUGGUUUGUUAAGUUAGAUGUGAAAGCCCUGGACUCAACCUAGGAACUGCAUUUAAAACUGGCAAACUAGAGUAUAGGAGAGGAAAGUGGAAUUUCAGGUGUAGCGGUGAAAUGCGUAGAUAUCUGAAGGAACAUCAAUGGCGAAGGCAGCUUUCUGGGCUAAUACUGACACUGAGGUACGAAAGCGUGGGUAGCAAACAGGAUUAGAUACCCUGGUAGUCCACGCCGUAAACGAUGACAACUAGCCGUUGGGAGGAUUUACCUCUUAGUGGCGAAGCUAACGCGUUAAGUUGUCCGCCUGGGGAGUACGGCCGCAAGGUUA